UUGAAUUUGCUUUAAACUUAUAAAUCAAUAAUGAAAACAUUGGUAUUAAAUUUUGUAGUUUUUAUAGCAUUGGUACUAAAUUUUAUAGCUUUGUUGUUACUUUUGUUUUAUUUGACGCAAUUUAAACGCAGGUAUUAAUCGGUAAACGCAGGUAUUAAUCGUAGUUUUAUAAUUUUUAAAUCCCGGGAUAUUUUAAAAAUAACCCCGGGAGUUCGGGGUUAUAAAAUUAGGCGGCAUCCCGGGAUUUCGGGAUCCCGGAAACCGGGAUUGCAAACCCUAUCUCUCACUAAUUCUUAUAAAUAUAAGUUAUUACCAUUAUUAUUAUAAUUAUAUUUACAUACCUGUCAUUACUAAUAUUUAUCAAAAAUACGUUCUGGUUGUUGAAUUCAUUUUCACUCAUAUCAGUAUGCAAAUAUUGUCAACAGUCAGUGUGCAUUGUUGAUGUUAUAAGCGUACAAUGUUAAAUCAAAACCAAAAAAAUAUCAAUGAUUAAAAAAUGCAGUUGAUGCAUAACAAUGAAGCCAUUUUGGCAUUUAUUUGUAAACACUUGGUGUUUAUAUCUGACAGUGGGAAAACUUUAUUAACUUCAGUCAUUUUGCUUGAAUAAAAUAAUAAAUAAUUGAAUAAAAAACAAUGGAAAAGUGUAAAAAUGAUUUAAAAGCUUUAAGUUCUUUAAAUAUAACCUAUCCUUCACAACAUUCGCCUGUUUGUUCCUCUUGAAUGUUUCUGACUAAACCAAUUUUUUGAGCAAUUUUAAACCAGUUAUUACAAUCACUAGCAGAAACGAAACUUUAAAUUUUGAUCAUUUUAAAAAUGCAAACAGUGUCUCAAUGGAAUAGUUACUAUUGUUUAAUAGUUACUGUAAUGUUAAACAUAUGGUGCAUUCUAUAGUUAUUGAUGUAACGUUUGCAAAUUUCAUUCCUAAUUUAAAUACUUUCCAUUUAUAUUAGAUCCUUGUAAUAAAAUUCAAUGUAUUUACAUGUAUGGAUAAUAUUGGUGUAUAUAUAAAAUUUCCAAACUGUUCGUGUUUAUCUUCAAGUAGAAAAAUAUUUGUUCGUUACUGACAUAACGCUGGGGUCUGCUAUUUUUCUAAUAUUAACAUUUGACUUUAAGUUUCUCUGAAAGUUGAAAGACAAAAAUCUGAAAAAUUACUUUGAAUUAAAGACUUAUUUAUCAAGAUGAUUUGUUGUACAUAUAAGUUAUAGAUGUAUUAAUUCCAUUUGCAAAAGAUAUUAUUUUGAAGCCAUAAAUUCAGACCUAAGUGAGCGCUGCUCAAAAUGAACUCGCUCAUGAGCGGCACUCAAAACUUUUGAGCGAAGUGUGAGCGCGAGCGACGUCAAAUUUAGAUGAAUGUGAGCGCAAGCGAACGCUUUUUUGAUAGCGCUCUAAAAUUACGCUUAUUCUGCGCCUUCAAGCGGCCAAAAAUUGAAUUAGUUAACAUAGAGUUAACUCCAUGUUAAAAUGCGCCAUCAAAUAGCGGUUAAAUAUUUAACUUUAUAUUUAAAACAGCACAUGUAUGUAACCAGCCAGAGAAACUUCUUAAUUUUAAUACUGCAGUUAACGUUUAGCGUUGUUUCACUUUCAUUUUUUAAAGUAGUUAGUUUAAAUAAUUUUCUGAAUUUAAAGAGCAAAUAUUGGGAAAGUUAUAGAAACUUUUUUUUGAGCGGAUUUGUGAGCAAAAGAGCGGAGCGCCCGCUCAAGAAUAUUUAUAAGCAGAUUUGCGAGCGUCCGUUCAUAAAAAGCUGAACGACAAAUUGAGCGCCGCGCAAAAUUUUCUGCAUAAAUUACUGACGUUACGCUACUGACGUAACGCUCCAACUCAGAGAAUCAUAGUUGUUUAAAAACAUGCUGAUUUAUUCAAGUUUUAUUUUACUUUUUAAUAACAUUUAUUAUUGAUAAAUUUGGUAUAUUAAAGAUAUUAGAUAAUUCCAGUAAACCUUAGGGCGUAGCCUGUGGGCGUCAAAAUAAAAAGGCGCUUAAACGUCAAAGUUUUUUUUUGUUUUAAUUUGAAAUAAAAAUUCUAAUAACAAAAAACAACUAAUCGGUAGCUUUAACUUUAAUUUUAAAUUUGGUAAAUAUUAUGUGACUCCUUUUAAUAAGACGUCUUCAAAAAAGAGGUCGAAAAGACGUCAAUCGGUUGUUAAUAAGGAAAUCAUUAUUUGUUUAAAAAAAUUAAAAUUAGUUACGAUAUCUUUGUUACGUUCUGAUUAGCCCGUUUUUUGUUUACAAAAUACUUUUAUAUAACUUUUAUGUGAAACGGUCUUUGCAUAGGAAAUUUAAUUAAAAAAUAAUUUUUUUCGCUGCUUAGCUAAAAAAUGUUAAUCGGAAGAAGCAAAAAUGGAUGGCGUGUUGCCAGUAAGAUGGUAUCGAUACGAUCUAGUCUCAAUUAAGUUAGUCGCAGCAAAAUUCAAGUAAAAAUUCAUGUUAUAGAAGAAAGAAAAAUAUCAAUAUCUGUUUUCAAUAACUUGGUUUUCAUAGCAAAUCUGAGAGGUGCAAAUGUUUAGCUUGGUUUAAGUACUACAUUAUAAAAUACAUCGUUGCACAGUCAUUUUGACGGUUGUAAAUUUAUUUAGAACACUCAGUUUUAUAUAUUUUUAGAUUGUUUACCGUUUGACCCCUGUCCUAAUCUAACCUAGUGGGUUCAAAAAAAAGGGACCGCGCUUGAAACAUGAGUGGAUUAAAAGGAUCAGCCUUUUUUGAAUUAAUUCUCGAAGUGGUAACCAGCUAGAAGUCGUGACCUGCUCGUAGGAAAGGAUUUCUCGACGUGAAAAUGUUAAUUUUAUUCAACCAAGAAACAGAGCUCGCUCAGGAAACAAAAAAGAAAGAGAAAGAUAAAAAAUAUUCUGUUGAACAAUACUAUUGUUUUAUUUAUAAAUUAUUCUCUUAUAUUUAAACAUAUAAAAGAUGUAGAAAAUGCUUUCUCUUUUAUAUUGACAUCUAAAAGAAGUUUUUUUACGGCAUCGGAAAGAGCUUUUUGCCAUACUUUGUAUGAAGAGCUAUUAGGGUAGGGUGGGGCAAGAUGCCCCCCUUAACAAACUUUAUCGUAUAUAAUAAAUACUUUUACAUUUU